AGCUAUACAUUGCUGCAAAAAUGGCAGAGAAACAAGAGAAGAUAUCAGGGAACAAAAGUCAUGAUCUCAUGGAGCAAAAGACCUGGACUUUGCCCUUUGCUACAGUUAUGGAUUAUUUAGAUAGAGGUAUUUCAGGGAAAGAGGUCGCUUCUCUAACAAGCCCAAUUUAAUUCUCUAAGACAUUAUUUUUCUUUCUAGUAGUUUACAGUUAACUAAGAAAGAUAAGACAGAUAUCCAAAAAAGUAUUAGCAAAAUGCCAUUAGUGGUAUCAAUGUUUUACACAAAAUAAUGCUUAGUUAGAAUGAGAAUACCUAAGUUCUUUUCCAUGCCCGUUACCUUCCAUUGAUCAUGAUAUCUCUCAGAAUUCCAAUUUCCACCUCUGACAAAUGAAGAGAGUGAACUAGAUGAUCUCAAAAGUCUCUUCUAAUCUUACUUAUAGAAUUAAAAAGAGGAAUAUGAAAGGCCUUCAGCAGUGGUGGGAAAAUAGAGUAAAAAUCACUCAUUUAUAAAAUGCUUUCUGUUUGCAAAGUAUGUUAUAAAUAUUUUCUCAUAUGAUCUGGACAAUAAUCCUGUGAGGUAGGGAAGGAAGCAUUUCAGCUAGACCUUGAAGAUUUGGUUAGAUUUUGCAAGGGGACGACACAAAGAAGGAUAGUCUAGGCAGAAGGAAGAAUUUAUGCAAAAGCAUGCAGACAGGGAAGUACAUGGCAGGCUCAUGGUGUUUGGCUGGGGCAUAGGCUGGUGUAGAAAGGAAACAAGACUGACAGUUUGUGGGGGAAGGGCCCAACUGGGAGUGGCAGUUGGGUCUUGUGACUAACACUUCCUUCCUGCGGAGGUAGUCUUGCUUCUAGGUAUUGGAGGAAAGAGGAGCUUGUUCAGCCCAGUCUGGAGUGGCAUGCUCUUCUUGGUUCAGCUCAAAGACACAGGCUUCUAAAGGCAUUUACAAAGUACCCACCCUGUGCCAAGCUGUAUGAAUACAGAAACAAAAGCAAAAUAGUACUGAUCUCAGGACCUGACAGUAUCCUAAAGAAAAAUGAUUUGGACAUAACUUUGGGCAGGAGUCUACUACAAACUCAAAUGGAAAGCAAAAGGAAAAGUCAAAGUAACACUCAUGCUGUGGGUGGAUUCACAGUCUAG
rnacentral:lncRNA from 1 species